CCGGCUGCCGGGCUCCGGUGCCACGGGAGAAGCUCUCCAACGUGUCCUUCUGGCAUCGCUGGGAAUGAUGGUUCCUUUAAGCUCUUACAAAUUGCAGAAGUUGAGGAAGACAGAGAAAUAAUUACUGUAUUAAAACAAGCAGCGAAUUCCUCAGGAGGCACCUUAUCAACUCCAGCCACACUGGCUUCAUCCCUCCUCGUAUGCUAAUACCCCUUGACGUCAUCGGCGCCAGAUUGAAUGUGAAUCAGUUAUGAAAUUAUUAGUUUUAGCUUAAAAAGCAAUCUGGCUCUCCCGUGAGUGGGCUUUGCGUUGGCUGCGGGUUCUCGCUCCAUGUCCUCCCCAUGUUGUGCACACACGGUAGUUGCGACUAUCCUGUCGCAAUGAAUCAAUAUUUCCAAAGCACGCAUCCUAACAGGGGGUGAUGUAAAGAAACCCAUAGAUUAAUUGAGUCCCGUUUCUGAGUCGGCUGUGUCUUCCUUAUCGAUACACACUUUACACCCGAAACCAGACAGUCGGAUUUCCUCCUACUUUUCAGGGUCUGUGUCAUCUCCUCCCGUGAGAGGCAACUCAGCAGCCUGGUCCCCUCUGCCAUCUCAGCACUGCCAGUGGAGAAGCCCAGGAGGAGCAGAGCAGUGGCUGUGCAGCAAUUUGAAUAUCCAUAUUUAACUCUUCAAACAACAGAAGAUACUUCAGAACCAUGUUAAGAAGGAUAAGCUUGGAGUGCCCAGUCACCGUGGUAACUGCCAGAAAAAUUCUCCUGAAGUUUGAAGAGGUCAGCUAACGGGGUCAACAACUCUGGCCUCUCUCUGAGCUGGGCCUGCCAGGCUCCAUCCUGCGGUUGGGGUGUUAGCGCAGGCUGAGCCCUGGGAGGUGGACCAUUCCAGCUCUGAUAUAAAUUUUUUGAGUCAGUUCACGGCCUGGACUCUCCAGGUGGCCUCCAAAAUCGAUUGUGACCUUGUGACCCUGUCUAACGGAGGCAUAGCAUCCAACCUAAGUAAGGAUUUAGCCAGGAACGACAGCUUUCCACUGAGUGUUAUUGGGGACAGUACAAACAAUUUGGGAAGCAAGGAGGUAGGUAUGAGGAGUAGAGGUCAUUAAAAGCAUAUUAAAAAACAAUUUAAAAAAUCCUUUUUAGUUGAAAGUUUUUAUUUGCAGUAACUAUUCCUUAAAUAUACCCUUUUGGUAACUAUUUUUUCCUUCCAUAACAACAUUGUAUCAAGUACUUCAGUGCAUUAAUAUAUGAAAUACCAUCACUUUGAUUAUCCCAAACCAAACUAACAUUUUAUCUACCUCUGGAUUUUGAACUUGUAAAUGAAGCUGACUGACAUGUGUUAACCUAGAUAUCUGUGAAGUGUUUUUUUCCUUAAUAUCAUACAAACUAGGAGACUGCUUAUUAAAGUGGGCUAUUUAUUUUAGGUAGUAAUUUCCCUAAUAUACACAUUCUUUUUAGAUUCAAAAGUCUCUUAUGCCCUGUAAUCUAUUUUUAAACUGAGAAAUUAGGUAACAUUCAGAAUAGUGUGGAAUGAAAGUGUGAGAGUUUCACAGAGUUUUCCUUUGCUGGUUUGCAGUACAAAUAGAAAAGCCACAAAACUGAUUAUGUAUUUUUAUAGGAAAAAAUUUGAUCAUGCUAAGAUCGUAUUCAUAGAUAAUAUGAUAUUUUUUUCCUUUAAGAUUUUAAGCAACAAACUAUGUGGGGGAGGGAGAGGCUGUUGCAGCGUUUUCUUAUUGAAUCUAGAAACUUGCCCUUCUGAGCAAGUGGAUUUGCUCUUUGGUUUUAUUCCCACCGCUACAAAACCUCGUGCAUUGCUCACGUGAGUAAUUGGUAGUUGUCAGGUGAGUAAGUGGAACUACACUGAGGAACAAAGUCCAGUCUCUGAGCUGGAAAGUGCUAUCAGAUUUUAAGUGACUUUAAAACUGCUCUGAAGGAAGAAAAUUGCUUUAAUAUUUGUUCCCAGUCUUAGAAAAAUUGUGCAGUGAGAACCUUGCCCAAACACUUUCUGUGCUUGGCAGGGCAUGGCUCUGACAUCUUUCUUCCCAGCCCCUUCCCAGUCGAGAAGUUCCCCUGAGGCUGGAGGACCUGCACAGAGACAGGGCCAUAAAAUAUAGUUCUGGAAGAGCAUCUGAGCUGUGCUAAACAUCAUUGUACUGCUGAGAAGUCCCACAGGUCACAACAGCAAGAAUAUCUAACUUUUACUUGCAGUAACACCUUACUCUGCAGAAAGUCCCCCAAAAUCCAUGGAUAUCUGUUGGCCAAGGUCCUGCCUCUUAUAGAGUCAUCAUAAUCUGCUCCAGUGGGAGCAGGUUUGAAGCCAGAAGGAGUAAGAAAUGGGGCUGAAUUUUGCCAUAAAAUAAUUUAAGGCCCACACUUGAACAUUCAGAUAUCCACGGUGACACUAUUUGAUUCUAUCCUGAAUACGAAUAAUAGUUUGGGUUUGCUGGUGAUUUUUUAACAGAGCUCUGCUGAAAAGAAUUUAUUCCCAUUAGGAAGUGUCUUGAUGCAGGGGAGUGCCUUCUGUGAUUGAGUUUGGGAGGAUGGAGCCUACAGCCCUUGGUGAGAACCAGAAUAUUUGCUUGUUUUUCAGAAAAAAAAAUUAAAAUAGAACUGUGAAUAGCUGGAAGGUGAAUCUUCAAUAUUUUCAAAAGCAUUUGUGGAAUUUUUAACAGAUUUAAAAAAACCAUGUACUUACAUCUGCUUUGUAAUAUCAGCACUCAGGGACCAAGUUCAACUUGAAAAACAAGGGAUCACUUCUGAAAACAGGUAGAACUAUUCCACUGGAACUUUUGGACCAGAAUUGCCCCAAAUUUGCCCUAAAGCCUCCAGCUUGGAAUGAGGAAUUGUUAGCAGAGGGAACAACAAGGAGAUCUCAAGAGCUUGGACUUGCUGCAAAUUCUUUAGCUUUGACUUCUGUAGAUCCUAUUGAAUUUAUAAUCGGCUGCAAAUCUACAAAUGUCACUUGGAACGGGUCCUGGUCUUGCAUGUUUUGUACCUCUUCACAUUGCUCAGUUCAUCCACAUCCAAGGAUGUGGAGUGCCUAGAGGUGCCUAUGUUAGCAGUAGCUGCAGUGGGACAAUUCUUCUUCUUCCCCAUCAGUGCAGUGAAGUGCUCAGUCAGCUUCAUUUGGGUUCUUGGUAAACUCUCUGAAGUGCAGGCUCUUUGGGUUUCAACAGAGGGAUGUCUGUGAAUGGGCUUAGUGCAGUGUUAGAGGUAAACCAACAGAAUCACCAAAGUCUGUGGUGGUUCCCAGUCCCUGCCCUAUGGACCACAGAUGAUCCAUGAGGCCUUUGCAAAUUCACUGCAGCUGGUCUGUGGAAUUGUUUUACAAAGUAAUGUUCAUAGUUUCAAUUAAAAUUUUUAUGAGAAGAAUAUGUGGCUGUCUGCAAGAAAAUCUGAGUUCUGAGGGUAAUCUGCUACCUGAAAGCUCAGAGGAUGUUUGCUCUACAGGAAUAUGUCGCAGCCCACAGGCCACGAGGUGUUAGGAGGUAUUUUGUUAAUGUUUUCAAAUUAAACACAUGCCCAGUUAAAUGAAUAUAUUACUCAUGCAAACAAACAAAACAGCAAAAAAAUCCACUUCAAAAUAAAACAAAGAAAAUAAAAGUAAUAAAUGGACACUGAAGCCUCAGCCUAGUUUGUGUUUGCUCCAAACCCCACAUUCCCAGUACCCUGCAGAGACAGAGAAGCUCUGCUUUAGAGAGUAGCAUGUUGCCACAGCCUGGAUCAGGGCUGGAAAAGGUCUCUGGGUUCUGGAGGAAGCAGGGAGGGCAGAUGAGCACCGGGACUUAGAGGUGUGCUGACAAAAGGUCCUAAACAAGUGCUGUGCUUCCGUCUGCUUUUACUUCUUCCUCUCUGCCUUGAGAGUGUGUGGCUGGUGCCCAGAGGAAAAGUCAAACUAAUUCUGAUGCUUUUUCCUAUUCUGGGUGCACUAAUUCAGAGAAAACACUUAUGGCAGCCUUUGUGGAAAGGUUACAAUAUAGGUUGAUACUUUAGGAACUAUAGGAAGUUCUUAAUCCUUCCCUGCCUAUGGGGUUGUCCUUUCUAGACCUGCUCUUGUCUCAUCUUUUAUAAGGAUGUUUCCUUAUGUUAAGGUUCCAAGAGCAACCAGACUUUGCCAUUGUUCACAGCUAUUUCUGUUUGUGGCUUAAUGCACAUCUAGUAUUCUGUUUAUGCUUUCACUGCUCUCCUACACAGCAGACUGUACCUACACACCAGCUUAGGUGACAUCACUCUCAAAGCAUUCAUUUCUGUGGUUCUUUUUUUCUCCCUGAUUAGUCUGUGCAUCUUGAUUUUGCAUUAGCCUAGUUUAUUACAGGUAACAUGAUAAAGUACAUGGAACUUUAUGCAUUUAGUUGGUCAUUUCAUGGUCAGUUCUUGUUUGAUAUACUUGUUUAUAAAAAAGCUUUUAGGUGUUUUUUUUAUAAAAACAAAACCCCUCUUACUACAUAAGAAGAAGGAAUUCAGCCAUGAGCAGAAAAAACUGAAACAUAGAUAAUUUUGAAUGUAUAAAAUUUAGCUUGAUGUUAACAGGGGUUUAAUUACUGGAUUUUUUUUUUUUUUUUAUUGCUAUUGCUAUUCAUAAAGACAUCCAUUGUUUUCUGCUUUGAUUUAUGUCCAGAUCAGCCCCCUUCAGAACCCCAUUUCUGGCAAUCUCAGCAACACGUGGGGGCUGGCAGCUUCUGCAGACAUUGCCAUCUUCUCUCACUGCUCCUUCUUCUGUGCUGUUCCACCAGCUCCACAUCCUGUCAUUCCUCAGGAGCCCUUAAUGAUGAUGGCCUUUCCUCCAUCAUCUGCUCCAUGGCCCUUCCAGAACCAGGGGAUUUUGUCAAAGUUUUCAAACCAGUUUAGAAAUAGAUACUGAAAUAAAGGCAGGUGAUGUGACGGUGGGGUGAUGUUGUGUUACUGCCUUCCUGUCCUGCAUGGGAAGAUUACAGACCUUCUCCAGCACUCAGCUCUAUGGCCAUACAAUGAGAAUAAUAAUAACACCAUCUUUGCAAAGUGCUUUUAUAUCUGAAAGAUUUGAUGCAAAUUAAAAGCUACAUAGGUUUUGUCAGACCUAACUUUACCCAGCACUUCACCUUCUCCACUGCCCUCUCAGCUGCUCAAGAUUUGCCAAUAAGCCUUUUAGAGUCAUUGCUUUUGCAUCAUACCUUGCAAAAAAUUACAUUUGGGCUUUUAAGCUACCCAUGUCUCAUAACAUACAUAGCAGCCCUAAUAUAUCCUUUUCCCACAUGCAUCCUAGCUUUCCUAAAAAAAGCACUCCAACGCUGAACAAACUACAAACAGCCUGAUGAUGCAGGGUGUGGAGAGCCCUGCAACCUUUGUGUGCUCAAGGCACAGCUUUAUCCCAGCCAUCAGUGGGACAGUACACAUGGAAAUGUGUGAUCUAUUCCUUCCCGAGCCCCAGUGAUGCCUUGCUUUGCAGUUCCUCUCGCUGGUUCUCAUAUCCUGGCAAGAUGCUACAAACCCCAUGCGACAAAGAUCAGAGGGAAAUACUUAUUUGAAGAAACCUCUGUCAUUAGCUGUGCUGGACAGAGGGCUGUGGUUGUCAGCUCCUCAGAGUUGUAGAGGCCAGAAGCCUAAAAGCACUGCAGCAUCGUUGUGCCUGCACACACACCAUGCACCCCUGUAGCUGCAGUGUCCUGCAGUGCCCUGCAGCAUCCCAUGGGCAUGCAUGAAGCAGCCACCUCUGGAUGCCAGGAGCUCACUGUGAUCAACCCCCUGCCUGUGAAACACAGGUGAGCACAACACUGAGGUAACAGGUAAGAUAUUUGCAUUCAGUGGGGUACUCAGAAAACCAGGUACUUGCUGCAGUGUUUCUGUAGUGUGGACAAAUCGGAGACCCUGGGACUUUAGUCAGACCAGGCACGGGUCAGGGACUGAAAUAUUUGUCCCACACCUACCGCAGCAAAGUUGUGGUUGUUGACUUGAGUGAUAGGGGAGUAGAGGACUGGGAUGUCUCAGCCCAAACUCCUUUAAGCUUUGGCUUGAUGGAUGAGGUCUUGAACACAGCCAGAGCCUAUGACAUUAAAGGCUUUAUAAAAGCAACAGUGCCAGUUUAAAAGCAACCUCCCACAUUACCAGCAGCCCCAGCAGGUGUAACGUGAUCCAGGUAGCCCAAGCCAGGGAGUAAACAAACUGCUGCUUUCUGAAUGAGCUGCACCAGAGAAAUGCUUCUAACUGGGAGUUACAGUGGCUGUUUGCACUAAGUGAGCUGUGUAAAUGAACAGGCUCCUAUGAUUCUAAUUCUGUGAAAAUGAAUGGGCUCCUAUGAUUCUAAUUCCUAUUCCACACAGGUUUCCCCCUCUACACCCAAAAUGAAGUAGGCAAAAAACCACAGGGAAAAACUUCCCUGAUAAGCCUGUAAGGUUUAGUGGGAUUGGGCCUGAUCUAGCUGCUUGAACUUCGGUGGGGUCUGUUGCUGGGUUUCUUUAAGCUAAAGAAAACAAUCCUGCUGCUUCCAAACUGCCAAGUCAGUCAGAGGAAUUUAAUAUUGUCCCCAAAGAAGCUACUUUGCUGCUCUUCUGUUAGGUUCCCAGUUCCAUUUCCAGUAAGCAGUAUUAACUUAGGGGCUUUUUAGUUGGCUAUUUUUUUCUCCUUCAGUUCCAGCUCUUAAACCUUCAGAGAGCCUUGCUGUGCAGACCAGCUGAACAGAGGCUGAAUGUACCAUUUUAGAUCCUCUCAGUGUUACUGCCUGGCUCCCUGACUGGAGAAGUGCAUAAAAGCAAAGAAGGUGCAUCUGUCCAAGUAGAGCCUAGACCCUGACAAGUCCCAUGGGCUUGGCAGGCUCUAAGACUCACUGUGGAGUCCUUGGAAUGUGCAGACUCUGGGUACACCACACUGAGGACCCAGCAGCCCAGCUCUGCUCCAGUGUUUCUGACUCCCAGUCAGGGUCCCAUCCUGCCCCAGAGAGCCUCUCUCCCCUCCCCUGCCCACGCUCCACUUAUUCAUGAGUUAUGAUAACAUAUAAGCAGCUUAGAGAAUUCUUAUCGGAGUAAGUUGAACACAAUGCAACAUUUAACUCUUAAUGACAGCCACCUCUGACUGUGAGUGACAUAUUAUAAAUUAUGUUUGAACUGGAUUUUUUUUGUCUUCAGAGGCAGAUAUUCCCUCUGCCACCCAGUCGGCCCUGUAACGUUGCACUUGUGGCCUUAAUCCCACUUGGAUGUGUGCCCUGCUGCCUCCACUUUCCAUCACUUGGGUACUUUAGUAUUCUUGAACAAGUGAACAAUCUUUGUUUCUGUACCUUAUUAGGCCAACGACCAUAGCAGCGAGCGAUGGCAUCAGCAGGCCCUGCAGGCAGGAUUCUCUGCAGACACAGCCAACCUCCAACAAACCCCUUUUUAUCCUCCUGUUUCUAGGAAGAAUUAUGAUGGUGGUGCCCUGCUGUUGAUCAGUCAAAUCUGUGGUAGGCCUAGAGAUAAGUCCUGUAAGUGUGGUGUACUGUAAAACAGCGGCUCCCAUUCAUUAGUAGCUUGUGUGUAAUAAACCACCCAAAGGAGGGGGGUGGGGAGGGAGAGGGACGAGCAGCUGCAGUGUGCAGGAACAAACAACACAACUCAUUCUUGGGAGCCAAAACUUUCUAAUUUGCUGCUGGGCUGCUGGGAGCACUCAAAUUCUUUCUGAUAAUACGCUCGUGCCCUCAGUGUCUCUCCCGGCAUUUCCCAAGUCCUGCUCUCUUGAGGUCCCUGAGUCUGGGAUAGUUUCACUUUGAACCCAAAACACAGAGGGGAGCUGAGCGGGGAGGAGGGGAACACAUCAGUGCCCAGUGUUUGCAGACUCCGGCAUAAGAAAGCCGUGGACUCCCAGUCAUUCUGCUGGGAAUGGCUGGUGCAUGGAUCUGCUUGUGCAGUGAGUAAACAAAGCAUCACAUGGGCUGCAGAGCAAGCAGCAGACAGGGAGCAAACCCAGGGCUCUCUGGGCAUGCAGGGGGACAGAGUGUCUCAGACGCGUUACUGAUUUAGAGCCUGCUGGAAUAUUUAGGAACCUUUAUCUCCCAAGAGGUAAAAACCUCAAACAAACCUCAAAUGAGUAAUAGCUGAAAAAUUAUUUGGCUUAAUCCAUUCUAGUUUUUUUCAUAAGUUCUGGUAAGUCUUUAUAGCUUGUAGGCAUGUGAAUUUAAAUGGAGUCUGGUAAAUAUAAUGUAAGAUGUUGCAUGUGUUGAGACAUCGGCAGUUCCUAAUAUUUGCAUAGCUGUGAACACAUUGGUGCUUUUGGAUCUCAGCCUUGGACCUUCCAACUGCCUGUGGAACAUUUCAGACCAGGAUGUGAAAUUAUUGAGUGUUGCACAACUGCUCUCAUAGACCAGGCCUUUGUGCUGAUGUUUGUAUUAUCACAGGAAAAUGAAAUUAUUUUCAGAUAGCUGCUGCUCUGGAGGAGUGCUGUACCCUCACAGGAGAUGACAGUGACUGCUUUUUCACAAGGAUGUACCAGGCUGUGACAGUGCUUGGACUCUCUCCUAACAUUUGUAUAGACAAGGGCUAUUUUAAUGACAAAUUCAGGCUUGGGCCAAAAUGCAAGCACUCUUUAUGUAGACAAGGCAAAAUCACAGAUUUGAGGUUUUCCACUUUCCUGGAGGAGAUCCAUCUCCCUCCUCUCUGGGAAGAGCUGUGCUGUGAGUUUUAAGCUCUGAAGUGAGGGGGGCUUCUGCCAGACUGCUGCUUGGUAAAGUUACCCAGUGGGCUGAGAUGAAAAGUCCCUGCAGAGCAUCCACAAAACAGUGUUAAUUAAACCUGGGCACAAAACGUUUUUUUUUCAUCUUCUGAAAGUUCAGCUAGUACCAUUUAGGUAGUUCUGAUUGUGGCAUUUGGGCAUUUUUAACAAAGUCAAAGUAAUUGGACAUUUUGAUUUUCCUUCCCCAGGCUGAGGUAGGUAGGUAGGAAAGUUGAUAGCUUUAUAACCAAAACUGGCUGCUCACUGCCCAUUCCCAGCACAGAGCCUGACUUCACUAUGCUGUUUCCAGGAUUUUCAAUUAGAAUUGCAACAAGGAGCAUUUUAUGGGAGUCUCUCCAUGACUUUUCAAAGAAAAUUGCAAAGGUAACACCUCUGGUAAUUGCUGCACUGUGUAAGUAGACGAGAGAACCAUCAAUUGGAAAACUCCAGCACUGGUCAGACUGGCCUGCUCCCGGAUCGCUGGCAGCACGCAGCAGGUACCUACCUGUGGUCUUGGUGUCAGCAGGUUUGAAGUUAUAGAUGAGACCAGCAAACUGAGUGAAUGGUCUGGGUAGCUAUGAAAUCAGGGGGUGAAGGGGUUUUUUUGGAGGGUUUGAGCCCCAUCUCCAGCACAAGCAAAGCCAUGUAAUCCUUUCUUUUGCAAUUAGAACUGAAAAAUAGCCCCGGGCCAGGGCACUUGCACAAGGAGCAAUUAGAGGAGCUAGACACUGGGAAAGGCUAAAAAUAGUAAAUAAUCUGCCUCCACAGAAAUACCUUGAAUCAUUAGAAAAGGACAUUUUAUGAAUUUCCUGGGAAUCACUUAGUGCUUUAUAAUGUUCACUGUGCUCUGCCCAAAGGCGCUAUAUUCCAACUGCUGUUUGGCAGAGGUAAACAUGAGUAACAUGACUCUCUUCUUACACUUGAGACACUGAAAAAACCUGAGUAAGUCCUGAGAUUUUCAUACUUAACGAAUUGAAACUGGGGGAAAUGAAUGGAUUCAUAUUUAACUGAGAAAAAAUAUGCCCUACUGCUCUUUUAAGAGAAAAAGUCUAAUAGUUUGGGGGUAAAAAGGACAUAUUUUUAGUUAUUUAAUGGCUCAGCCCAGUUUUCUUUUAAAAAUAAUGUAUGAAUCAAUGAUAUUCAUCCAUUAGCUGAAUCCAAACUAUUAUAAAACUCUGCUUAUAGAAAGUAUAUUAUUUGAAAAAAAGGAUGACAACUGCUGACUUAUUUUGCAGCACUCCUGAGCUGGUUGAAAUAUAUGAACAAAAAAACAUAACCACAGCUGAAUAUUUUUAGUCCUUUGCAGGGACUACACAUGUUGCUAUUUAAUUAAGAAUGCCUUGAAAAGGUUGAUUUGACUGUUUCUGAUUAAGCUUCUGAUGCAGGCUUUAAAAAUGUAACAAAACUCAGACCUGAGGCUUGCAGGCAACAGUCCCAGAAUCAGCUGCUUGCUAAUAUGUGUAAGAAAGGGGUUGCAGGUUGCUACAAUGGUUUUGGGGUUUUUUUGCUGAUAACUUGUGUAAUACUGUUUGAAAAAUGCUGUGAACAUUAAACCACUUUCUGUUCUGUCUUCUUUAUUUACAGGAGAUAAUUCAGGAGGACAAAAAAACCUGUGUAAAAUGAAACAGCAAAUUGUGAGCAUCUGUGUGCACACCCGUGUUUGUCCUUGUAGCACUGCUGGCACGCUGGCUCUCAGGAGGAGUUUCAGUGACAGAUGACAAUGUAACUCUCAGUGCCUGUCCCUCUGCUUCUGUGUGGGGCCUCCUGUUUAUUCCCUGAGCUGCUCAUCCCCAUCCCAAGCAAGCGCAACGCGCUGCUGCACUGUCAGCACCUCACCAGCCUCGUGACAGGGAUGCAAUGCUGGAAUUCCGGGAGCUCUUUCCCCACUGCUAACCUGGAGCAGCAGCAAUUUUGGUGGAGCAGGGUUCUCGGGGCGUGGAAUGGCAGCAGGAGGCACCGCUGCUCCUGGAGCUCCUGCAGGAGCUGAGCACCUCAAGGGUCUCUGCAGGAGUUAAUCCAUGUCUGUGCUGGGCAUCCAAACAGGGGGUGCUUGCUCACCCAGCUGCUGGGCGUGGGGUGACUGGGGCUGGGGAGCGCAGCUCUGGGUGCUGGAAUUGCCGAGAUCCAGCCCAUCCCUUCGGCCCCGCGCGUCGCCCUGCCCGUGGGAAACUGCACAAAGUUUCUCCUAAACGUGAAUUUAAAACGCUUUCAGGCUUGACAGCCUCCUUUCAAAUAAAAACAUUUAUGUUGAGCAAAAGGCAUGUUUGCCUCUAAAAAUAAAUGGAAUUAUAGUUCUAAGAUCUGACUUAAUCCUGAAGUUCUUAGACUGCACAGUAAGUAGAAAAGAAAGAGGAUUGCUUGGAAGAGCAGGGGUGUUAGCAGGAUCAGGCUCCAUCUUACAUCUUCUUGCUCAUUUUCCUUCUGGCAUUUAAUAUACCUUUCUCAGAAGUACCACUGGCUGUUUAUAACAAAGGCAAAGUAACUUCACAUCUAUUACCUAAUUGAAAAUAACGAAGGAUGGUACAGAGAGUGCCCAUCCAGCUCUCCUGCUGGAAAAAUUGAGGAUUGCUAAACAAACAAAAAAUGCUGUUCCUCCAAAUGUAUUCUUAUACUAAAAUCAUGUCCUUUUGAAAUUAAUUUCAGGACUUUUCUCAAAUGCAUUGUAAUUAUUUGUUCUUUUUCUACACCGUUUUCUUUGUGAAAAUGUAUUUAAAAUCUGCAUUGAGGUUUCAAAGGGUCUGAGGGAAGAUGUUUACAGAAUGAUGAUGCCAUUUGCAUUUGUUAUAUUUCUGAAAAUGCAAUUUCUAAUUAGACAAUAUUAAAGUACUUUUGUAUUA